GAAGAAUUGAACUUUAAUUAUUAUUAUUAUUUUUUUUUUUUUUUUUUUUUUCUUCCGCCUAAUUUUGAUAUUGCGACAAAUGUUUGUUUCGCAAUAUGUCGCUUAGAUAUUUCUCAUAUUGUAUCGUACAGUUUAUGUGCUUUUACAUUUAACCCUGCUAAGCCGAACACUUUUCUUUGUAAGAGUUAUCUCCCUAUUCACUGUUUAUCAUCAGAGUGCAUCUCCUUUGUAACAAAAAAAGAUAGCGACAAAAUUCUUUUUACAAAUUGUUCGUUACAUCCUAAGGAAAAUUUGGCUUAUUUGGAGCGAAGCGAUUCGAUGAAAUUUUAUAGGAGUUAUCUACCUUUACAAAAUUAUUUUCUCAAUAUGUGUUAUUAACUAAUAAACCGUCAACCGUAUAACCCUGGAAUGUAUUUAUUUGAGAUCCCUAGGCCCUUUAUUAGAAAAUGGGGUCAAGGUCAAAGGUCAAGGUCAAGUUCUAAAUUCGGAAUUUUCCAUGUUUUUGCAUUUUUCUCCAAACCCUUGAAAAGGUACAUAUUAAAGAACAAGUGCAAAAUGAUUGCUAUAUAGUUAUGAAGAUAUGUUACAUUUGGUCUGAUACAAUUAAAUAGCAUCUAAUAGGAGUUAG
rnacentral:lncRNA from 1 species